CAGUCGCCACGGGAAUACGUAGGGUGCAAGCGUUAAUCGGAAUUACUGGGCGUAAAGCGUGCGCAGGCGGUUAUAUAAGACAGAUGUGAAAUCCCCGGGCUCAACCUGGGAACUGCAUUUGUGACUGUAUAGCUAGAGUACGGCAGAGGGGGAUGGAAUUCCGCGUGUAGCAGUGAAAUGCGUAAAUAUGCGGAGGAACACCGAUGGCGAAGGCAAUCCCCUGGGCCUGUACUGACGCUCAUGCACGAAAGCGUGGGGAGCAAACAGGAUUAGAUACCCCUGUAGUCCCUGUCUCUUAUAC
rnacentral:rRNA from 1 species